UCAAGCCCAAGAACAAAAGUCUUGGUCCUGAACCUACCACUACCUAUCCCCAAAACUAUACAUGCAAGCCUCAACGCAACAGUGAGUAACCCACCAAAUCAUAAAGGAAAAAACGGAGUACAUAUAAGAUUAUGGAGCCCCAAUCAAAACAAAGGGGAAACCCCACACCUACACAGGUACACAGCAGUAAUAAACAUUGGGCCAUAAGCGAAAGCUUGACCCAGUUAUGAGGAAAUAAAGCCGGUAAAACUCGUGCCAGCUACCGCGGUUAUACGAGAGGCUUAAGAUAGUCCCACUGCGGCGAAAACAUGACCAGAGCACAUCAAAAGCCUAAGAAGAAAGGAAAAGCAAGCCGUCCAACGCUAAGAACAAACGAAAUCCCACACCUUAACACCCGAACCCUUGAACCAUAAAAGCCGGGGAACAAACUAGGAUUAGACACCCUACUAUGCCCGGCCGUAAAAGGCACUGCCCGCCAGAUAAGUACGAGCGAAAGCUUAAAACUCAAAGGACUUGACGGCACCCCACAUCAACCUAGAGGAGCCUGUCCUAUAAUCGACAACCCACGCUAAAACCUCACCGCCCCUAGCCAACCAGUCUAUAUACCGCCGUCGUCAGUUCACCCUGCAAAAGAACAAAAGUGAGCGAAAUAGUUAUUACACUAAAACGACAGGUCAAAGCGUAGCACACGGGGCGGGCUGAGAUGGGCUACAUUUUCUAAAAUAGACCACACCAAAAAGCGCAUGAAAAACGCCGAACAGGUGGAUUUAGCAGUAAGGCGGAAUAGAAAGCCCGUCUGAACACAGCACCGGGGCGCGCACACACCGCCCGUCACCCCCCUCUACUAGCAACCAAACCCGUUCAUAAAAUCAACGCAUUAUUAAAGAUGGGGAAAGUCGUAACAAGGUGAGCGUACUGGAAGGUGCGCUCGUACAC
rnacentral:ncRNA from 1 species